GACGAACCGUGCGAACGUUAUUCGGAAUUAUUGGGCUUAAAGAGCGCGUAGGCGGCAGCAUAAGUCAAGGGUGAAAUCCUAUCGGCUCAACCGUAGAACUGCCUUUGAUACUGUGUUGCUUGAGGUGGAUAGGGGCAUCUGGAACUUCCGGUGGAGCGGUGAAAUGUGUAGAGAUCGGAAGGAACGCCGGUGGCGAAAGCGAGAUGCUAGGUCCAAUCUGACGCUGUGGCGCGAAAGCUAGGGUAGCGAACGGG
rnacentral:rRNA from 1 species